rnacentral:rRNA from 1 species
AUUGAACGCUGGCGGCAUGCCUUACACAUGCAAGUCGAACGGCAGCACGGGUGCUUGCACCUGGUGGCGAGUGGCGAACGGGUGAGUAAUACAUCGGAACGUACCUUAUCGUGGGGGAUAACGCAGCGAAAGCUGUGCUAAUACCGCAUACGCCCUGAGGGGGAAAGCGGGGGAUCGCAAGACCUCGCGCGAUUAGAGCGGCCGAUGCCUGAUUAGCUAGUUGGUGGGGUAAAAGCCCACCAAGGCGACGAUCAGUAGCUGGUCUGAGAGGACGAUCAGCCAAAGUGGGACUGAGACACGGCCCAGACUCCUACGGGAGGCAGCAGUGGGGAAUUUUGGACAAUGGGGGCAACCCUGAUCCAGCAAUGCCGCGUGAGUGAAGAAGGCCUUCGGGUUGUAAAGCUCUUUUGUCAGGGAAGAAACACCGGCUCUAACACAGUCCGGGAAUGACGGUACCUGAAGAAUAAGCACCGGCUAACUGCGUGCCAGCCGCCGCCGUAA